AUGGAGGGCCCUUGGGAGGAAGGAGGGGAUGCGGACAAUGUGUGGAUGAAGAUGGCGACUUGCAUUCGUAAGGUGGCCUCGGAGGAGUUUGGAGUGUCCAGGGGAAGGAGAAGCGAAGAUAAGGAUACCUGGUGGUGGAAUGAUGAUGUCCAGAAGGCGCUUAAAGAGAAGAAAGAUUGCUUCAGACGCCUAUACCUGGAUAGGAGUGCAGACAACAUAGAGAAGUACAAGAUGGCGAAGAAGGCCGCAAAGCGAGCUGUUGGUGAAGCAGGGGGUCGGGCAUAUGAGGACCUCUACCAACGGUUAGGCACGAAGGAAGGUGAAAGGGACAUCUAUAAGAUGGCUAAGAUCCGGGAGAGGAAGACGAGGGAUAUUGGCCAAGUCAAAUGCAUCAAGGACGGAGCAGGCCAACUCUUGGUGAAGGACGAAGAGAUUAGGCAUAGAUGGCGGGAGUACUUCGACAAGCUGUUCAAUGGGGAGAAUGAGAGUUCUACCAUUGAACUGAAUGACUCCUUUGAUGAGACCAGCAUGCGUUUUGUGCGGCGCAUCCAGGAGUCUGAGGUGAAGGAGGCUUAA
rnacentral:rRNA from 1 species